CUGGAAUGGGUAUUGACUCAAAUCUAUAUGGCCCCUGGAUUGGACUGCGGCCGAUCAGGCUGUUGGUGAGGUAAUGGCCCACCAAACCUGUAACCGGUACGGGCUCAGAGAGGAGGAGCCCGGAGAUGGGCACUGAGACAAGGGCCCAGGCCCUAUGGGGCGCAGCAGGCGCGAAACCUCUGCAAUAGGCGAAAGCCUGACAGGGUUACUCUGAGUGAUCUCCGUUAAGGAGAUCUUUUGGCACCUCUAAAAAUGGUGCAGAAUAAGGGGUGGGCAAGUCUGGUGUCAGCCGCCGCGGUAAUACCAGCACCCCGAGUGGUCGGGACGUUUAUUGGGCCUAAAGCAUCCGUAGCCGGUUCUACAAGUCUUCCGUUAAAUCCACCUGCUUAACAGAUGGGCUGCGGAAGAUACUAUAGAGCUAGGAGGCGGGAGAGGCAAGCGGUACUCGAUGGGUAGGGGUAAAAUCCGUUGAUCCAUUGAAGACCACCAGUGGCGAAGGCGGCUUGCCAGAACGCGCUCGACGGCGAGGGAUGAAAGCUGGGGGAGCAAACCGGAUUAGAUACCCGGGUAGUCCCAGCUGUAAACGAUGCAGACUCGGUGAUGAGUUGGCUUCUUGCCAACUCAGUGCCGCAGGGAAGCCGUUAAGUUUGCCGCCUGGGGAGUACGGUCGCAAGACUGAAACUUAAAGGAAUUGGCGGGGGAGCACCACAAGGGGUGAAGCCUGCGGUUCAAUUGGAUUCAACGCCGGG
rnacentral:rRNA from 1 species